UGGAACAAAAAACGACUACUUCUACCUUCCUGAUGGGAGCUCAGUUCAAACACCAUUCAUGUCCAGCAUGGAUGACCAAUACCUUUCGUCUUCUGAUGGGUUGAAGGUACUUAAGCUUCCCUACAAGCAAGGUGGGGACAAGAGGCAGUUCUCCAUGUAUAUCCUUCUUCCAGAAGCACCAGGUGGUCUCUCAAACUUGGCCGAAAAAUUGAGUGCUGAACCAGACUUCCUGGAGCGGCAUAUCCCAAGGCAGAGGGUUGCACUUAGGCAAUUCAAGCUCCCCAAGUUCAAGAUAUCAUUUGAAACUGAAGCAUCUGAUUUGCUCAAAUGUUUGGGCCUCCAGCUUCCAUUCAGCAAUGAAGCAGAUUUUUCCGAGAUGGUGGAUUCCCCAAUGGCACACGGUCUUCGUGUCUCAUCUGUUUUCCACCAAGCGUUUGUGGAAGUGAACGAACAAGGAACUGAGGCCGCGGCAUCAACUGCCAUUAAAAUGGCCCUGCUACAGGCAAGGCCGCCCUCGGUCAUGGAUUUCAUCGCGGAUCACCCUUUCCUCUUCCUUCUCCGGGAAGACAUCUCUGGUGUGGUCCUAUUCAUGGGUCAUGUGGUCAAUCCCCUCUUAUCUUCGUAAUGUGUUUGCUCUGAAAGUGUGUGUUGUCAGUUGCCCUCAGCCAUUACAUGUAAGGGAAGGGUUUCGACAGUCAGUCAUGUUAACCAUACAAUAAAUCGAAUAAAUGGUUAUGCUAAAAUAUCCAAUAAAUUGCCUUUUAAUAAUGGCUUGCUUUGUUGUGCAAAGGAAAACCAAUUGGACUGUUUUUUCAUUAAUCAUCGCGGUACUGUGGAUUUCUCGAAGAACUACCUCAUGCCAAAAGGAAAAUCUAAGUCAUCUUGAUUAGUACUAUCCAACAUGAAUCUCAUCGUCAUUAACAUCUAUAUUUUUUCACAAAAAAACUGCCAAUGGCCACUUUUUGAGAUUGAAUAUGCUCUUCAAUUUCUCUUCUUCUUACGUUUUUCAUAUCCCCGCUUAUCUUUAGAUUCACUAACUCCUUGGUGUUGGAGCUCCCAGGGCCGAUUGUGUUGAUCGAUUUGCAGGGCCGGGCCGGCAAAAUCUGGGGCCCUGUGCAAGACUAAAAAAUGGGCCCUAUCUAACUAGAAAAAAAAGAACUAACAAGCAAUUAUAAUGCGUAUGAUAUAAUGUCUUACAUAACAAUUGGUUACAUAAAAAAUCAUACCUAUUCAACUCCUGGUUGUAUAAUAUUUAUUUGAACAACAUUAUUCUUUUAGUAUUCUUUGAAGUGAAAUCUUCAAUGAUAUCCUCGUAAUCAAUCUUCUCCCCAUGAUGACUCAAAUCUGUUUUACUGAAAAACAAGAUACAAAAGAUGAAUAAAAUAAAAUUAAAGUGAUAGGGCAGCUGUCAACAGAUAUCAAUUAGAGAUUAUGCGCCAAUGUUUGGCAAUUGGACGAACCAUCUAACUCACCUAGUCUUGUGUCCUGUCUAGAUGAACUGCUAUACUAUGAUCUUUAAUCAAGGAGGCAAGAACUCAUCUCCAACGAAGUAACCAUCUCUGCCAAAAAGUUAAUUAGGAUUUAGGACUUAGGUGUAGAAAUGUAGGAUCUAAAGUUAAUCAGGAGGGCAAGCCAGUGGCAGCUGGCAGGAGUAGUUAAACACUUAAACUAGGGCCUGGACCAUGCAAGUACUGAUGGAUUCUCUAACUCUUGCCGAUAUCAAAUCAAGACGGGGAACCCUCCACGACUGAUGCUACACAUGCUGACACAUGACUAGCAAGGGUAGAGGAACAUGAUUUGUUGAUCUACCUGUUAUGGCGAUGGCGAGAGGAAUAUCUUCAUCAGAGUUCAGACGAAGUUAAUCGGAACUCGGAAGGCUCGUUGGCCUGCCUGUCGUCGUGUCGCCCGCCGCCUCCUCUGGACGCGAUGCGAUCAAUUUUGAUCUGGUCUGGAUGCACCCUCUCAUCUGCCAAUUUCCUCUGGAUGCGAUCGAGGGGGAUCCCGUUCUGUUCUGAUCGAGGCAUCCCAUCGAGCAGCGGCCUCACGCGGAGUCGCGCGGAAGCGCCAGGCUCCACCGGCCCAGUGCCAAGAGCGGCCCAGCACCCAGGAGAAAAUAUACCUAGGCCUAUAUAAAAAUUUUGGAGCCCCUAAAAAUUAUGGGCCCUGUGCGGGCCACACACUCUGUAGACCUAUGGGCCCGGCCCUGCCAUAAAUAUGUACAGCAAAGGUCGAAACAAUUUAUUAAAAAAUGUGUGUGUGUUUUUCAUUCUUCCGCAAUACAAUAAGAAGUCCAUGCCUAAAGCUCUUUCCUCCUUGCUGAGUAUAUUGAUUAUUAGAAAGUAUAGAAUAUACUAGGAUUUGAUCCUGCCUUGUCUUGUACUUCAAAUUGAUCCUUGUACUCCUAUAUAUAUGUCCACGGGGCUCAAGCAAUAUGACGAACUAUUUCAUCAAACUCGUCUCUCCCUUCUAAUAUGGUAUCAGCCUAAUCGAUAACAAACCCUAACCGCCGCCGCUUUCGCACCCGCGCACCGCCCUCGGGGCGGUUGGCCUCCAUGACCGCUGCCGGGGCCGCGCCGCCCGUACCUAGGGUUCGUCUGCCGGUCGUGUUGACCGACUGCCUUAGAGAGUCUUUUUCCCGAGCACUUGCUUUGUUUUUCUUUUUCACUUCCUCGCCGAUGGUUCCUCGCCGAUGGUUCCAAUCGGUGUUUUUUUUUGUCUUCCGAUCUACGAUCGGUUUGCAUCGACCUCCGCACGCCUCUACUCCAACAUCGGCACAACUACGCAGCUUCUUCUCCGACACGAGGGUCUGGCACGACAUGCAGCAGCCCGGAACGGCCGCGGUCCGCGCAUCGGUCGACGUGCACAGCACCUGGGUCGCGCUGUAUGGCGCUGGUGACCAAGCUAGCCAUGCAAGGCACGGCCAAUGUGUUGCACUAGUACACGCCACACGGGACGCAUCAUCCUCCGAGAAAAAGAUGCACCUGGUUGCAAUCGAGCUGGAUGGAGACGACGUGGAAGGAGGAUCCCGAUCCAAUCAAGGUGACGAUGGUUGGCGCAGAACGACGCGAGCGACCGAUGCACGGACGGCGGCCGUUCCGGGCUGCACCGACCAUUGCGCCACCGCUGCGUCGCUUCCUCGGGCCGUAGCGAGCGUGGCACGCGGUCACGCUGCCGUUCUGAGUCGUUCCCGCGGUUGCAUCGACCCGGGUUUCGUUGCUGCGCCGCCUCCCCGGGCCGUCGCGCAGCGAUCCGUGGUCACCGCCGCCGCCCUGAGGUCUUUCCGUUGUCGCCCUGAUAUGCCUGCCGUCGCAGCGUCGCUCUUCGGAUCGUCGUAGUGUCACGGUCCGCGGUCCACUUCACCGUCCCCGCGCUUCGACUUCCUGUGGUAUGUGUCGCGCCAUCUCCCUUGGCGCGGGAACGCCACCGUCCGCGCUGGUCUUCGUCAUGAUGUUGGGUUCUUCGCCUCCUUCGAGCAUCGCUGUCGCGCUCCUACCUAGCUGCCAUCGUCGCUGCUCUUCGGUCGCCGCCGCCGCAGCCGCCUGUCCACCCCCUUCGUCUUCGUCCAGCACCAGCCCGUCGCCAGCGUCACCGUCAUCUACCUCGACCACUUCGUCUACUCCGACAAUCGCGAGCGACAUCGGCCCCGUGUCGAUUGGCACCGCAACCGUCGUCGAGUCCUUCUCUGCUGGCUUCUCUGACUUUUUCGACAUGGCGUACAGCUGGUGCAGGUCCCAUUCUAUGCAUGCCUGGUGCUGGCAACACCGAAGCAUGCCUUCGUCCACGACGUGUCCCCGGACCUGUCAAGUCUUGUGCGGCGCUUCGUCAACUUCGUCUUCGUCCGUCUACGUAUGCCCGGUGCUGGCAACACCGGUGCGUGCCUUCGUCUACGAUGUGCCCCGGGCUUGGCAAACCCGCUGCGAAGCGUCAUCGACAAUAUCUUCUUCCCGGCGCACCACUACUUCGACACCACUGGGCCCAUGACUAACUCGACGCCUCUUUGCGCCCGCAGCUCCACGGUGACUUCCUCAACACCGGCCACCCCGACUCGACAUCGACCACGGCAUUCUUCGCAGGGCUACCUUGACCAUGGCUCUACCACCCACGCUCUCGGCUACCUCGACAAAUGAUACGUCUCCAACGUAUCUAUAAUUUUUGAUUGUUCCAUGCUAUUAUAUUAUCUGUUUUGGAUGUUUAAUGGGCUUUGUUAUGCACUUUUAUAUUAUUUUUGGGACUAACCUACUAAUCAAAGACCCAGUGCAAAUUGCUGCUUUUUUGCCUAUUUCAGUGUUUCACAGAAAAGGAAUAUCAAACGGAAUCUGUUGGGGAUAUAACUAUUGAGCAUAAACCGCCCUGGAGGGGCCGGGUUAUGCCCAUAGUGAAGCACCUGUAUUGAAGCCCAUGAAGACAAAAAGGAUGGUGCUUUAGUAAAGAAACGUAAUAACAAGACUCAGGGCCCAGGGACGGGUUAGAGCCCAUAAAUGUAAACCGCCAUAAGGUGUAUGACUUGUAUUGUACGUUAGGAAAGAGUAGAUAUCGAGUCGGGCAUGAUUAUGAGCCGGCCGGGAUUCUGUAAACCGACUGAGCAUCAACCUGUGUAUAUAAAGGGACGACCGGGCGGCGGUUUAGGGACAAGAAACAAGAGGUCGAGAGCCGGGUCAAGCGUAUUCGCUCCCCGUUCAUCGAAACCCUAUCAAUUCCAAUCACAACUGGACUAGGCUUUUACCUUCAUCGUAAGGGGCCGAACCGGUAUAAACUCCUCGUGUCCUUUGUCCUGAUUAACCCCUUUAAGUUAACCUCAACACGAUGGCUCCACGACUAAGUCCUCACACUAGGACAUCUGCCGUGACAAUUCCACGACAGUUGGCGCCCACCGUGGGGCUAUCGCACGAUGGUUUCGAGUUCUUAAAGGGCAGCUUCAAAGGGAUCAAGGGAUACGCCAUGGGCCGAGUAACCAAGAGUCCCCGCGGCAAGCUCUACAUCGACAACGCAGGCUGGGGCCCCGAGGCCGGCUCCAUUGAGUACGGGUACCGGGUCCCCUUUGGUGGAAUUCACGUCUUCAUCGGUAGAUCAGCGAACCGGGCCCUGAGCCGGACAUCUGCACCAACAUCAUCGAGACGGCUCAGUGCGCGAGAUCCGCCCUGGUUCAGCCUCCCAUGAAGCGUGCCUUCGUGGGAGUCAUCCACGGGGCAGAAUCUGAGGAUUGAUCGGUGUCUGGUGGUGAAACCGUCGUUUACUCCGAUGGCGAGUCAUCUACUGGAGAAAUCGAGUCAUUGUACCAGCUGCAAGACGGCCAGCUUGGGGGCUAUUCCGAUGGCGACAGUAUUCCGGAUCCCCACGAGCCACUGAACCGAGUUGCAAUCUUCAUGGCUGGUACACAACCAUGGAAGAAUUCUUCAACUGCGGCGGUGUUAAUCUCCGAAUCAGCGGCGGCAAUGGUGGCCGGGGCAGGAGGCCCUGCGCGCCCGCCGGCUCAAGUCUUGUCUGGUUUACUUGACACUUUAGCAACACUGAUGACGACCGAGGUUAGCGCGGCAAACCGGGAUGAGCAUAAUGCGGAAAUUGCCAAGGUGAGACCAGAUAACUCAAGCCAGGGAAUACCUGGUAGCCGAAGACGUAAGAAUGGCCACGAUGCGGGCCGAGUUAGAGGCUCAGACGCAGUGGGUUCAAUCGGAGUCUUUUUGGCUUAUGCUGGAUCAGAAUGCAUCGAAUGAUGUCAUGAGGAGAAGGCAUCAGACAGCCUACCUUCAGUUUACUAGGCGAGAAACCUCGUCAACACGCCCGAAGCAGGGACCAGUAACCAGCCAGUGGUAAACCGGACUGAAGUACCAGGAACAGGGGCGCCUGUUCAACCGUGCACGAUGGACCCGCCUCAUCAAGGCAAUAACCCACCGCAACAUAUACCGAUGUCAUAGCAUGUGCCGACGCCGCCGGGUCAUUACUCUAACCCCUUAGAUAACAUGGUCGCCGCCGCUUCACGAUUGGCGGCUCUCCCAGUCGAAGGCGAGUCCCCAGUAGUAGUUGAGACGCGGCGGGAUAGAGAGCUUCUUCAGAUAGCCUUGGCUCAGCAGCAGGCUUAUUCGUACAGCCGUGAGAGGAUUCAUUCCACCCCCCGCCCAAGCAGGAGUUACAUCAGACAUAUUGAUGAGCCGGCCGUGUCAAGCAGUGCGCGGAAUCGUAAUUCGCCUCGUGGCCAUAGCCCGGCAAGCGGUGGGGCCGAUGCUCAGAACGUGAUGGACCAAGGUAGAGCACGUCGAGAGGCCGAGCUAGCGGCGCAAUACGCGGUCCGUCAACCUUCUCCGGUUCAUCCAACGGCUUCAAUCGAGAUAGGUGUAACUUUCAGGUCUUUGUGUCCGCUGUGUUUGGCCCCGGCUUUGCGUAACGUAAGGUUGCCCAAGGAUUUCAAAGGUCCCCAUAAGGUACCCAACUACACGGCUGAUUUACCUCCUGAAGCGUGGAUUGAGAGUUAUGAGAUGGCGAUGGAACUGCUGGAUGUUGAUGAGGCCGCAUAUGCUAAGUAUUUCACCAUGAUGUUAGAAGGAACGACUCGUACUUGGUUGAAGGGAUUACCGACUAACUCCGUUGGGUCAUGGGCCGAGUUAAAAUCCUGAUUUAUCCAGAAUUUCAAGGACACGUGCAAGCAGUCCAUGUCAAUUAUGGAUUUGGCAUCCUAUGUCCAGGAAGAAGGUGAGUCGACAACCCACUGGGUGCGCCGGGUUUCAACGAUCCUGCACUCGUUAGACCGGAUCAAUGCGGACUCAGCAGUCUUGACGUUGGAGAAAAAUUGCCGUUUUACGCCCCUCAAGCAAAAAUUAGGGUGGCUCAAACGUCACUGCAAUGACAUGGGGACACUCAUGGCUGCUCUGGUUAAGUACACUGACUCUGAUAGUACCAAAGACCCCGAGUCUGAUGAUGACAAACCGGGAAAGGGAAAGAAGAACAACAACACCAGAGGGCAGCAGCAUAACCCGACGGCGAGUCAAGGUGGUAACGGUAAGCGCAAAGCUGAUAAUAGUUUGGACUUUGUGGCAAAUACCAAUGCACAGAAUAAUGGCCAGGGUCGUAAGGUUAGACCGCCCCCACAGACCGGAGGAUCAGGCAUGAAUAUUGAGCAUCUGUUAAAUCAGCCCUGUGUGAGGCAUGGUACACAUCAAAGACCGUCUACUCAUCUCUGGAAAGAUUGUUACAUCAUGAAGGAGUUCAAGAAUUCAAAUCUUUUUCAAAGCAACCAUGGACCAAGAGGCAGUCCAGGAUCCGGUUCACAGGGUCCGGGUUACGAUGGUGGCGGUUCAGGUUCUAGGUUCCAAGGUCAUCAAGGCAGUCAAGGCAAUCAAGGCGGCUACCAUCAACAGUCUGGUUAGGGGAGUCAGCAGCAGCAGUCUGGAUAUCAGAGUAACCCGAAACAGUUGAAUAGUGGGCAGUAUCAUGUCUUCACCACAGUUUUGUGCAAGUGGGAUCAGAAACUUCAUAAAAGGGCAGUAAAACUCCGUUGAACCAGUAGUGCCUCGUUACUUGCGCUGGUCUGAGCAGCCCAUUGUGUGGAGUCGAGAGGAUCAAGAGGAUCACCCACCCCAGGUUGAUAAUCUGGGUCAUCUGGCAUUGGUGGUUGCACCUUAGGUUGGAGGGUAUAAGUUCAGCAAGGUGCUCAUGGACGGAGGGAGCAGCAUCAAUAUCCUUUAUUAUGAAACCUUCCGUUGUAUGGGGUCGACAGAUAAAAAUCUUAAACCGUCAAACAAUGUUUUUCAUGGUGUGGUGCCUGGUAAGUUGGCGUAUCCGGUUGGUAAGAUAGCUUUGGAAGUUGCUUUUGGAGAUGAUCAUGACUCUAGAUCAGAGACAUUGACCUUUGAGGUGGUGAAAAUCAAGAGCCCUUAUCAUGCCCUGUUUGGGCGGCCGGCUUAUGCUAAGUUCAUGGCAAGGCCCUGUUAUGUUUAUCUACAGCUCAAGAUGUCGGGUCAUAAGGGGACCAUCAUGGUACAUGGGAGCCGGAAGAUAGCUUUGGAGUGCGAAGAAGGUGAUGCGGCUUAUGCUGAGUCGGUUUGUGCAACGAAGGAGUUGAAGUUUUAUAAGGACAAUGUUGAUCCGGCGGACAUGACUUCUUUGAAAAAAACCACUACAGAGCAUGAUCCAGCCCUGAAGUUUAAAUCGGCUGAUGAGACUAAGCUAGUUGACUUUGUUCUUGGUGAUUCAUCCAAGCAGUUCAGCAUCAGCGUUAAUUUGGAUCCAAAAUAGGAAAGCACGCUCAUCGAGUUCAUCCGUGAGAACCGGGAUAUCUUUGCAUGGAAGCCUUCUAACAUGCCAGGUGUACCGAGGGAACUCGCUGAGCACACUCUUAAUAUUGAUCCUAGGUUUAAACCGGUCAAGCAGUUUCUUCGGCGUUUUAACGAAGAAAGGCGCAAGGCCAUUUGUGAGGAGGUAGACUGGCUCUUGGCGGUUGGGUUUAUUAUCGAGGUUUUUCAUCCCGAGUGGUUGGCUAACCUGGUGCUGGUACUUAAGAAAAAUGGCACUUGGCGCAUGUGUGUGGACUACACAGAUUUGAACAAGUCUUGUCCAGCUGACCCUUUUGCUCUCUCUCGUAUUGAUCAGAUCAUUGAUGCUACGGCGGGUUGUGAACGGUUGAGUUUUUUGGAUGCUUAUUUGGGUUAUCAUCAGAUCAAGAUGGCACUUAAGGACCAGGAGAAAACCGCUUUUAUAACUCCCUUUGGAGCCUUCUGCUAUGUGUCUAUGCCUUUUGGGCUCAAGAGUGCCCAGGCGAUGUACCAACGAUGUGUGCAGAAUUGUCUUCAUACUCAGAUUGGGCGCAAUGUUCAUGCUUAUGUGGAUGAUAUCGUGGUGAAGUCUAGAAUGAAGGAAACAUUGAUAGAUGAUUUGAAGGAAACCUUUGAUAAUCUCCGGGUUUAUAACAUGAUGCUUAACCCGGCCAAGUGUGUCUUUGGUGUACUGAUACGUCUCUGUUGUAUCUGCUUUUCCAAACACUUUUGCCCUUGUUUUGGACUCUAACUUGCAUGAUUUGAAUGGAACUAAUUCGGACUGACGCUGUUUUCAGCAGAAUUACCAUGGUGUUAUUUAUGUGCAGAAACAAAAGUUCUCGGAAUGACCUGAAACUUCACGGAACAUCUUUUUGGAAAUAAUAAAAAAUCCUUGCAAAAGAUGAAGACCAGGGGGGCCACACCCUAGCCACGAGGGUGGGGGGCGCGCCCCCUACCUCGUGGGCCCCCUGGAGCUCCUCCGACCUCAACUCCAACUCUAUAUAUUUGCUUUCGGGGAGAAAAAAUGAGGGAGAAGGAUUCAUCACGUUUUACGAUACGGAGCCGCCACCAAGCCCUAAAACCUCUCGGGAGGGCUGAUCUGGAGUCCGUUCGGGGCACCGGAGAGGGGAAUCCAUCGCCAUCGUCAUCAUCAACCAUCCUUCAUCACCAAUUUCAUGAUGUUCACCGCCGUGCGUGAGUAAUUCCAUCGUAGGCUUGCUGGACGGUGAUGGGUUGGAUGAGAUUUAUCAUGUAAUCGAGUUAGUUUUGUUAGGGUUUGAUCCCUAGUAUCCACUAUGUUCUGAGAUUGAUGUUGCUAUGACUUUGCUAUGCUUAAUGCUUGUCACUAGGGCCCGAGUGCCAUGAUUUCAGAUCUGAACCUAUUAUGUUUUCAUCAAUAUAUGAGAGUUCUUGAUCCUAUCUUGCAAGUCUAUAGUCACCUACUGUGUGUUAUGAUCCGGCAACCCCGAAGUGACAAUAAUCGGGACCACUCCCGGUGAUGAUCGUAGUUUGAGGAGUACAUGUAUUCACUAUGUGUUAAUGCUUUGGUCCGGUACUCUAUUAAAAAGAGGCCUUAAUAUCCCUUAGUUUCCGCUAGGACCCCGCUGCCACGGGAGGGUAGGACAAAAGAUGCCAUGCAAGUUCUUUUCCAUAAGCACGUAUGACUAUAUUCGGAAUACAUGCCUACAUUACAUUGAUGAAUUGGAGCUAGUUCUGUGUCACCCUAUGUUAUGACUGUUACAUGAUGAACCGCAUCUGGCAUAAUUCUCUAUCACCGAUCCAUUGCCUACGAGCUUUCCAUAUAUUGUUCUUUGCUUAUUUACUUUUCCAUUGCUAUUGUUACAAUCACUACAAAAUACCAAAAACAUUACUUUUGCUAUCAUUACCUUUUGCUACCGUUACCACUACUAUCAUAUUACUUUGCUACUAAACACUUUGCUGUAGAUAUUAAGUUUCCAGGUGUGGUUGAAUUGACAACUCAGCUGCUAAUACUUGAGAAUAUUCUUUGGCUCUCCUUGUGUCGAAUCAAUAAAUUUGGGUUGAAUACUCUACCCUCGAAAACUGUUGCGAUCCCCUAUACUUGUGGGGUAUCAAGACUAUUUUCUGGCGCCGUUGCCGGGGAGCAUAACUCUAUUCUUUGAGUCACUUGGGAUUUAUAUCUGCUUAUCAUUAUGAAGAAAUUGAGAGAUCCAAAAACCAAGAUUUAUCCCUCAACUACGAGGGGAGGUAAGGAACUGCCAUCUAGCUCUGCACUUGAUUCACCUUCUGUUUUGAGUAAGCUUGCGACACCUAAACCUGCUUCUGCUAUUGAUUCUGAUAUGUCGCAUGUUAUUGAUGAUGCCACUUCUGCUAUGCAUGAUACUUAUGAUGAAACUGCUUCUAUGCUUGAUACUACUAUGCCACUUGGUGAAUUUCUUGAUGAACAACUUGCUAGGGUUAGAGAGAAUGAAAUUAUUGAAACUGAUAAUAUUGAUAAAAGUGAUGAUGAAGACUCUCCCCCUAAUAAAUAUGAAUUGCCUGUUGUGCCUGAGGGCUAUGUUAUGGAAGCAGAAAUUGCUAAAGCUAUUUUUGCUUGCAAGGAUAGAUAUGAUCUUAAGAAGUUAUUAGCUAAAUGGAAGCAGCAAUCUCUUAAUGCUAGAAUGAAACCUGACCCUGCUUUUGCUACUCCACCUAUCUGUGUUACUGGUAAGGAUUAUGAAUUCUGUGUUGAUCCUGAUAUAGUUACUUUGGUUGAAUCUGAUCCUUUUUAUGGCUAUGAAUCUGGAACUGUCGUGGCACAUCUUACUAAAUUAAAUGAUAUAGCCACCCUGUUCACUAAUGAUAAGAAAUCUCGCUACCUUUAUAUCCUCAAAAUAUUUCCGUUCUCAUUAAAGGGUGAUGCUAAGAUAUGGUUUAAUUCUCUGGAUCUUGGUUGUGUGCGUAGUCCCCAGGAUAUGAUUUAUUACUUCUCUGCUAAAUAUUUCCCUGCUCAUAAGAAACAAGCUGCUUUGAGGGAUAUACAUAAUUUUGUGCAAAUUGAAGAAGAGAGUACAUACAUCAAGUGGCACGUGGUAUCCCAUUGUCACCACAGAUAUCCACGGCAAGACAUACAUCAAGUGUUCUCAAGUCUUUAAAGACUCAAUCCGAUAGGACAACUCCAAAGGGGAAACUCAAUUCAUUACAAGAGAGUAGUGGGGGAAGAAACAUCAUAGGAUCCAAAUAUAAUAGCAAAGCUCGCAAUACAUCAAGAUCGUAUCACCUCAAGAACACGAGAGAGAGAGAGAGAGAGAGAGAGAGAUCAAACACAUAGCUACUGGUACAUACCCUCAGUCCCGAGGGAGAACUACUCCCUCCUCGUCAUGGAGAGCACCGGGAUGAUGAAGAUGGCCACCGGAGAAGUAUUCCCCCCUCCGACAGGGUGCCGGAACGGGUCUAGAUUGGUUUUCGAUGGCUACGGAGGCUUCUGGCGGCGGAACUCCCGAUCUAUCUUGCGUUCUAGAAGUUUUAGGGUAUAUGGAGUUAUAUAGGCAGAAGAAGCACGUCAGGGGAGCCACGAGGGCCCCACGAGACAGGGGGGCGUGCCCUAGGGGGGCACGCCCCCACCCUCGUGAGCACCUCGUUCGUUCCUUGACGUGGGGUCCAAGUCCAUCAGGUGUGUUUCCUUCCAAAAAUAACUUCUCUAGUUGAUUUCGUUCCGUUUCGACUCCGUCUGAUAUUCCUUUUCUUCAAAACACUGAAAUAGGCAUAAAACAGCAAAUCUGGGCUGGGCCUCCGGUUAAUAGGUUAGUCCCAAAAGUAAUAUAAAAGUGGAUAAUAAAGCCCAAUAUUGCCUUAAACAGUAGAUAAUAUAUCAUGGAGCAAUCAAAAAUUAUAGAUACGUUGGAGAUGUAUCAAGCAUCCCCAAGCUUAAUUCCUGCUCGUCCUCGAGUAGGUAAAUGAUAAAAAAGAUAAUUUUUGAUGUGUAAUGCUUGCUGACAUAAUUUCAAUGUAAUUCUUCUUACUUGUGAUAUGAAUAUUCAGAUCCAUAAGAUUCAAGACAAAAGUUCAUAUUGACAUAGAAAUAAUAAUACUUCAAGCAUACUAACUAAGCAAUCAUGUCUUCUCAAAAUAACAUGGCCAAAGAAAGUUAUCCCUACAAAAUCAUAUAGUCUGGCUAUGCUCCAUCUUCACCACACAAAAAUAUUUAAAUCAUGCACAACCCCGAUGACAAGCCAAGCAAUUGUUUCAUACUUUUGAUGUUCUCAAACCUUUUCAAUCUUCACGCAAUAUAUGAGCGUGAGCCAUGGACAUAGCACUAUAGGUGGAAUAGAAUGGUGGUUGUGGAGAAGACAAAAAGGAGAAGAUAGUCUCACAUCAACUAGGCGUAUCAACGGGCUAUGGAGAUGCCCAUUAAUAGAUAUCAAUGUGAGUGAGUAGGGAUUGCCAUGCAACGGAUGCACUAGAGCUAUAAGUGUAUGAAAGCUCAACAAAAGAAACUAGUGGGUGUGCAUCCAACUCGCUUGCUCACGAAGACCUAGGGCAUUUUGAAGAAGCCCAUCAUUGGAAUAUACAAGCCAAGUUCUAUAAUGAAAGAUUCCCACUAGUAUAUGAAAGUGACAACAUAGGAGACUCUCUAUCAUGAAGAUGAUGGUGCUACUUUGAAGCACAAGUGUGGUAAAAGGAUAGUAGCAUUGUCCCCUUUUUUAUUUUUUAUUUUUUAUUUGGCCUUCCCUUUUUUAUUUGGCCUUUAUUUUUUUGCCUUUCUUUUUUUAUGGCCUUUCUCUUUUUUGGGACAAUGCUCUAUUGAAUGAUGAUCAUCACACUUCUAUUUUUUUACAACUCAAUGAUACAACUCGAUACUAGAACAAAGAUGACUCUAUAUGAAUGCCUCCGGCGGUGUACCGGGAUAUGCAAUGAAUCAAGAGUGACAAGUAUGAAAAAAUUAUGAACGGUGGCUUUGCCACAAAUACAAUGUCAACUACAUGAUCAUGCUAAGCAGUAUGACAAUGAUGGAGUGUGUCAUAAUAAAUGGAACGGUGGAAAGUUGCAUGGCAAUAUAUCUCGGAAUGGCUAUGGAAACGCCAUAAUAGGUAGGUAUGGUGGCUGUUUUGAGGAAGGUAUAUGGUGGGUGUAUGAUACCGGUGAAAGGUGCGCGGUAUUUAGAGAGGCUAGCAAAGGUGGAAGGGUGAGAGUGCGUAUAAUCCAUGGACUCAACAUUAGUCAUAAAGAACUCAUAUACUUAUUGCAAAAAUCUAGAAGUUAUCAAAGCAAAGUAUUACGUACAUGCUCCUAGGGGGAUAGAUUGGUAGGAAAACACCAUCGCUCGUCCCCGACCGCCACUCAUAAGGAAGACAAUCAAUAAAUAAAUCAUGCUCCGACUUCGUCACAUAACGGUUCACCAUACGUGCAUGCUACGGGAAUCACAAACUUCAACACAAGUAUUUCUCAAAUUCACAACUACUCAACUAGCAUGACUCUAAUAUCACCAUCUCCAUAUCUCAAAACAAUUAUCAAGUAUCAAACUUCUCAUAGUAUUCAACACACUCAUAAGAGAAUUUUAUUAUUCUUGAAUACCUAGCAUAUUAGGAUUUUAAGCAAAUUACCAUGCUAUUUAAGACUCUCAAAAUAAUAUAAGUGAAGCAUGAGAGUUCAUCUAUUUCUUCAAAAUAAAACUACCACCAUGCUCUAAAAGAUAUAAGUGAAGCACUAGAGUAAAUGACAAACUACUCCGAAAGAUAUAAGGGAAGAUCAAUGAGUAGUCGAAUAAUUAUGCAACUAUGUGAAGACUCUCUAACAUUUAAUAAUUUCAGAUCUUGGUAUUUUAUUCAAACAGCAAGCAAAGUAAAAUAAAAUGACAUUCUAAGAAUGGCAAACAUCAUGUGAAGAAGCAAAACUUAGGAUCAACCGAUACUAACCGAUAAUUGUUGAAGAAGAAAGGUGGGAUGCCAACUGGGGCAUCCCCAAGCUUAGACGCUUGAGACUUCUUGAAAUAUUAUCUUGGGGUGCCUUGGGCAUCCCCAAGAUUGAGAUUUUGUGUCUCCUUAAUUCCUCUCAUAUCACGGUCUCCCUAAAUCUCAAAAGCUUCAUCCACACAAAACUCAACAAGGACUCGUGAGAUAAGUUAGUAUAAACCAUUGCCAAAACCUUAUCAUACUCUACUGUAGAAAAUCACUAAAAUUAUUAUUAAACAUUGCAUACUAAAUGCCUCUGCAUAUUUAAUAGUCCUAUCCUCAAAUAGAAUCAUUAAAGAAGCAAAGAUAUGCAAACAAUGCAAACAUAACAGCAAUCUGCCUAAACAGGAUAGUCUGUAAAGAAUGCUGCAACAUCCAUACUUCCCUAACUCCAAAAAUUAUGAAAGAAAAUUCCCACUGUAGUAAAUUUAUCAGAGCUUAAUAUGCAAAAGGUUUCAACAUUUUAUCACAUUCUGACUUUUCUAGGGAAUUAUUGCAACAGCGGUAAACUUUCUGUUUUCAAACAGCAACAUGUAUACUUGUAACAUAGGCAUAGUAAAGGCUAUCAAUGCCACUUUUAUUAGAAUAAAAGAUGCAGAACAUUGUUCUAAAUAACAGAAAGAAAAUCCUAACAAAAUAAAUUGACGCUCCAAGCAAAACACAUAUCAUGUGGCGAAUAAAAAUAUAGCUCCAAGUAAAGUUACCGAUGAACGAAGACGAAAGAGGGGAUGCCUGCAAGCUUAGGCUCUUGGCUAUCCUUGAAUAUUACCUUGGGGUGCCUUGGGAAUCCCCAAGCUUAGGCUUUUUCCACUCCUUAUUCCAUAGUCCAUCGAAUCCUUACCCAAAACUUGAAAACUUCACAACACAAAACUUAACAGAAAACUCGUAAGCUCCGUUAGUAUAAGAAAGUAAAUCACCACUUCCAAGUACUGUAAUGAACUCAUUCUUUAUUUAUAUUGGUGUUAAACCUACUGUAUUCAAAUCUUCUCUAUGGUUUAUAAACUAUUUUACUAGCCAUAGAUUCAUCAAAAUAAGUAAACAACACAUGAAAGACAGAAUCUGUCAAAAACAGAACAGUCUGUAGUAAUCUGGAUCAAACAUAUACUUCUGGAACUCAUAAAAUUCUCAAAUAAUUGCUGGACCUGCGGAAUUUAUCUAUUAAUCAUCUGCAAAAAUAAUUAACUAAAUAUAACUCUCCAAAUAAAAAUGGCAGCAAUUCUCGUGAGCGGUAAAGUUUCUGUUUUUGACAGCAUGAUCAACAAGACUUUCCCAAAGUCUUCCCAAAGGUUCUAAUUGGCACAAAUACUAAUUAAACACAUAAAACCACAUCUAAACAGAGGCUAGAUUAAUUAUUUAUUACUAAAUAGGAACAAAAAGCAAGGAACUAAAAUAAAAUUGGGUUGCCUCCCAACAAGCGCUAUCGUUUAACGCCCCUAGCUAGGCAUGAUGAUUUCAAUGAUGCUCACAUAAAAGAUAAGAAUUGUAACAUAAAGAGAGCAUCAUGAAGAAUAUGACUAGCACAUUUAAGUCUAACAUACUUCCUAUGCAUAGGGAUUUUGUGAGCAAACAACUUAUGGGAGCAAUAAUCAACUUGCAUAGGAAGGUAAAACAAGCAUAGCUUCAAAACUUUAAGCACAUAGAGAGGAAACUUGAUAUUAUUGCAAUUCCUACAAGCAUAUAUUCCUCCCUCAUAAUAAUUUUCAGUAGCAUCAUGAAUGAAUUCAACAAUAUAACCAGAACCUAAAGCAUUCUUUUCAUGAUCUACAAGCAUAGAAAAUUUACUACUCUCCACAUAAGCAAAAUUCUUCUCAUGAACAAUGGUGGGAGCAAACUCAAAAAGAUAACUAUCAUGUGAUUGAAAAUUAAGAUCAAGAUGACAAGUUUCAUGGUUAUCAUUGUUCUUUAUAGCAUAUGUGUCAUCACAAUAAUCAUCGUAGAUAGUAGGCAUGCUUUCAUCAUAGUAAAUUUGCUCAUCAAAGCUUGGGGGACAAAAAAUAUCAUCUUCAUCAAACAUAGCUUCCCCAAGCUUGUGGCUUUGCAUAUCAUUAGCAUCAUGGAUAUUCAAGGAAUUCAUACUAAAAACAUUGCAAUCACGCUCAUCAUUCAAUAUUUAGUGCCAAACAUUUUAUAGAUUUCUUCUUCUAGCACUUGAGCACAAUUAUCCUUUCCAUCAUACUCACGAAAGAUAUUAAAAAGGUGAAGCGUAUGAGACAAACUUAAUUCCAUUUUUUAUAGUUUUCUUUUAUAAACUAAACUAGUGAUAACACAAGAAACUAAAAGACUCUAUUGCAAGAUCUAAAGAUAUACCUUCAAGUGCUAACCUCCCCGGCAACGGCGCCAGAAAAGAGCUUGAUGUCUACUACACAACCUUCUUCUUGUAGACGUUGUUGGGCCUCCAAGUGCAGAGGUUUGUAGGACAGUAGCAAAUUUCCCUCAAGUGGAUGACCUAAGGUUUAUCAAUCCGUAGGAGGCGUAGGAUGAAGAUGGUCUCUCUCAAGCAACCCUGCAACCAAAUACCAAAGAGUCUCUUGUGUCCCCAACACACCCAAUACAAUGGUAAAUUGUAUAGGUGCACUAGUUCGGUGAAGAGAUGGUGAUACAAGUGGUAUUUGGAUGGUAGAUAAAGGUAUUUGUAAUCUGAAAUUAUAAAAACAGCAAGGUAACAAGUGAUAAAAGUGAGCGUAAACGGUAUUGCAAUGCUAGGAAACAAGGCCUAGGGUUCAUACUUUCGCUAGUGUAAGUUCCCUCAACAAUACUAACAUAAUUGGAUCAUAAAACUAUCCCUCAACAUGCAACAAAGAGUCACUCCAAAUUCACUAAUAGCGGAGAACGAACGAAGAGAUUAUGGUAGGGUACGAAACCACCUCAAAGUUAUUCUUUCCAAUCAAUCCGAUGGGCUAUUCCUAUAAGUGUCACAAACAGCCCUAGAGUUCGUACUAGAAUAACACCUUAAGACACAAAUCAACCAAAACCCUAAUGUCACCUAGAUACUCCAUUGUCACCUCAAGUAUCCGUGGGCAUGAUUAUACGAUAUGCAUCACACAAUCUCAAUUCAUCUAUUCAACCAACACAUAGAACCUCAAAGAGUGCCCCAAAGUUUCUACCGGAGAAUCACGACGAAAACAUGUGCCAACCCCUAUGCAUAGGUUCAUGGGCGGAACCCGCAAGUUGGUCACCAAAACAUACAUCAAGUGGCACGUGGUAUCCCAUUGUCACCACAGAUAUCCACGGCAAGACAUACAUCAAGUGUUCUCAAGUCUUUAAAGACUCAAUCCGAUAGGACAACUCCAAAGGGGAAACUCAAUUCAUUACAAGAGAGUAGAGGGGGGAAGAAACAUCAUAGGAUCCAAAUAUAAUAGCAAAGCUCACGAUACAUCAAGAUCGUAUCACCUCAAGAACACGAGAGAGAGAGAGAGAUAAAGAGAUCAAACACAUAGCUACUGGUACAUACCCUCAGCCCCGAGGGAGAACUACUCCCUCCUCGUCAUGGAGAGCACCGGGAUGAUGAAGAUGGCCACCGGAGAAGUAUUCCCCCCUCCAGCAGGGUGCCGGAAUGUGUCUAGAUUGGUUUUCGGUGGCUACGGAGGCUUCUGGCGGCGGAACUCCCGAUCUAUCUUGCGUUCUGGAAGUUUUAGGGUAUAUGGAGUUAUAUAGGCGGAAGAAGCACGCCAGGGGAGCCACGAGGGCCCCACGAGACAGGGGGCUCGCCCUAGGGGGGGCGCCCCCACCCUCGUGAGCACCUCGUUCCUUCCUUGACGUGGGGUCCAAGUCCAUCAGGUCUGUUUCCUUCCAAAAAUAACUUCUCCAGUUGAUUUCAUUCCGUUUCGACUCCGUUUGAUAUUCCUUUUCUUCAAAACACUGAAAUAGGCAUAAAAUAGCAAAUCUGGGUUGGGCCUCCGGUUAAUAGGUUAGUCCCAAAAGUAAUAUAAAAGUGGAUAAUAAAGCCCAAUAUUGCCUAAAACAGUAGAUAAUAUAGCAUGGAGCAAUCAAAAAUUAUAGAUACGUUGGAGACGUAUCAGUAAUGAACCUGAAACUAAUGGUAAUGUUCAUGAUGAUGCUCAACCUAGUAAUGAUAAUGAUAUAGAAAUUGAACCUGUUGUUGAUCUUGUUAACCCACAAUCAAAGAAUCAAUGUUAUGAUAAGGAAGACUUUGUUGCUAGGAAACACGGAAAGGAAAGAGAGCCUUGGGUUCAGAAACCCAUGCCUUUUCCUCCCAAACCAUCCAAGAAAAAGGAUGAUGAUGAUUUUGAGCGCUUUGCUGAAAUGAUUAGACAUAUCUUUUUGCGUAUGCGAUUAACUGAUAUGCUUAAAAUGAAUCCUUAUGCUAAGUACAUGAAAGAAAUUGUCACUAAUAAAAGAAAGAUACGGGAAGCUGAAAUUUCCACCAUGCUUGCUAAUUAUACUUUUAAGGGUGGCAUACCAAAGAAACAUGGAGAUCCAGGAGUACCCACUAUACCAUGCUCCAUUAAAAGAAACUAUGUUAAAAUUGCGUUAUGUGAUCUUGGAGCCGGUGUUAGUGUUAUGCCUCUUUAUAUCGUAGACUUGACUUGAAUAAGUUGACACCUACUGAAAUAUCUUUGCAAAUGGCUGAUAAAUCAACUGCUACACUUGUCGGUAUUUGUGAGGAUGUGCCUGUUGUGGUUGCAAACGUUACUAUUUUAACGGACUUUGUUAUUCUUGAUAUUCCCGAGGACGAUAGUAUGUCUAUUAUUCUUGGAAGACCCUUUUUGAAUACUAUAGGGGCUGUUACUGAUUGCAACAAAGGCAAUGUCACUUUUCAUGUCAAUGGUAAUGAGCAUAUGGUACACUUUCCGAGGAAACAACCUCAAGUCCACACUAUCAAUUCUAUUGGAAAAUUCCAUCGAUUAUUUUUGGAGGUUUUGAAUUUCCUCUUUCUACUGUCAAAAAGAAAUAUGAUAUUCUUAUUGUUGGGGAUGUGCAUAUCCCCGUUGAGGUAACCUAGUGUUAUUCGAAAAUUCUCCGGUUCCAUGUUAUUUGGAAUGAGUUUGUUGACAAGACUUGAUCAACCUUGUUAGUGGAUUCAUUUUGAUGAUCAUGAGAUGGAUGAGUUUAGAAAACACAACUCCCUGUACCCUCCUUUUACUUUCUGUUAUUGAUAUUAAAUAAAAUAAAAAUAGUAUUUUCCUGUCUGUUUUCUGAAUUACCCGUGCAAUAUAAAAAUACCCCGAAAAUAAAAGUUCUCCAAAUACCCUAAAAUUUAAAUAUGAUUUUUAAAGUAAUAUAUGAGAAUAUUUGGCACUGAGAACACAGCACGGGGGGCAUCCACCUAGCCACGAAGGUGGAGGGCGCGCCCCCUGCCUCAUGGGCCCACGGUGCCCCCCUCCACUUAUUCCUGCACCCACACGCUCCUUCUUCCUCCCACAAACACGAUUAUCCAGUUCAAACCCGAGUCCAAGCUCAUUUUGCUGCCAUUUUCGAUCUCCUUGCUCAAAGCACCUCUCACAAAACUGCUUGGGGGGGGAUUGUUCCUUGGUAUGUGACUCCUCCAUUGGUCCAAUUAGUUUUUGUUCUAGUGCUUUAUUCAUUGCAUAUUUUUGCUGCUUAGGUGACCCUGUUCUUGAGCUUGCAUGUAAAAUUUAUGUGGUUCCAGGUAGUUUUGAUGCAUGAUAUAGGCUCUAGGCACUUGUAGGAGUAGUUGCUAUCGAUUUGUUGAGCUUGGCUCACUUUUAUUUGAAGUUACUAAAAAUUUCAGAAUUUUUUCAGAGGAGGAAAUAUGUUUAGGAAAAUGUAUCAAGGUGGUUCUUCAAGGAUACAAGAACCCAGGCUUGCAAUGCGUGAUGCUGAUGAUGAGCCACCAAGGGACGUUCCAGUGCGGCCUUGUGAAUGGCCUUCAGAGGACUUCAUGGAUCGAGCGGGAAUCAAGGAAGAAUUUAACACAUAUUUGCAUAACGCUGAUCUUGUGAGCUUCGAGGCAGAAAGAUUCCACCAGUACCACUAUCUCACUAGUUCCUUUGUGAGGAGGUUUGAAUUUUCAUCUUCACGUAAUUCUCCAACUGUCAUGUUUGAUCUUUAUGAAAAAGCUUAUACGAUGGACUUAUAGGAUUUUACCACUGCUUGCAAACUUCCGCAAUGGGGUAGUGCUAGUGAACCCCGCAAAUCUGAAUUUAGAAAUUUUCUUGCUAGUAUAACUGUGGGGGAAUCUAGAGAUAUAACACAAACUACUAUAGGGAGCAUUCACUUUCCUGCUAUACAUUAUUUUGCUCUCUUCAUAGGUAGAUGCAUUAAUGGUAAAGAUGAGGCAUGUCACAUGUGUGUCCCUGACCUCAGUAUUCUUAGGAGUGUUGUGUUAGGAGAUAAAUCUUAUAAUUUGGGAGCCAUUGUUGCACGUAGGUUGCAUCUUAAUAGAUUUAAUGGAGAUUCCUUUGGUGGAAUUUAUGCAACCCGCUUAGCUGAUUUUCUUGGUGUAACCAUACGUAAUGAUGAUAUUGAAUUGCCUCCUGCUUACCUAGACUUUAAUGCUAUGGUUCACCACCAGUUUGUCGAGAGGAAUGAAUCACCUCUCCAGUAUCGCUUAAUCUUUGACAGACGUCGUGUUGUCCGUAUUACUCUCCCUGCUCCUGCCUUCUUUGAUUAUCAGGCAAAAGGAAGACAUUUUAUUACCAGAGAGGAGGCAGAUGAGUACGAGAGGAGGGCGGAGGCAGCUCGCCGCCAUACUGCAGCUCAGGAGGCGGUAGCCGCUGCAUCUCAGUACAACCCCAGCUACAACUAUGGAUAUCCGCCAGGCCACCCGUGGCAAUGAACCAACUUAGGCCAAAAGCCUAAGCUUGGAGGAGUACGUAUUUCUCACCGACAUUAUGUUUAUGUUCACACACUCAUUGUUAGAUGUCGGUGCUCAUACUUUUUCAUUGUAUCAUCCAUGCCAGUUUGUUUCCUUUUUUAUGCUUUCUUCUUGUGUGCUUAAUAAACCUUAAGAAAAACCAAAAAAAUUUAGUUGUAGCUUUUAGCUAGUUUUAAUUUCCAUGCUUGUAGUAGUAAUUAAAAAGAAAACCCCAAAAGAUUUCAUGUUCUUCUUUUUACUUGUUGGGAGCUCUCCCGUGUAAAUAGUUUUAUUUCUUUUCUUUUAUUUGGGGGUUGAUAGGAGAAGACCAUGAUUAAAUUGUUGAAGUGGCUCUUAUAUGCAUUAUUGUUGAUUUAACCAAGAGCCCAUAUUGCCUUGUCUUCUCCUAUUUAUUGAAUGCUUGUAGAUUCCAGCUUAGUCCAAUGCACGUGCACUAUUAUUAUUAUCCACAUUGUUCGGUCGUGCAAGUGAAAGGCAAUUAUGACGAUAUAUGAUGGACUGACUGAGAUGAGAAAAGCUGGUAUGGACUCGACCUCUCUUGUUUUUGUAAAUAUGAUUAGUUCAUCAUUCCUGAUUCAGCCUAUUAUGAAUAAACAUGUUUGCAAUGACAACUAGAGAUGAUAGUUUCUUGUGCCAUGCUUGAUUAGCUAGGAGCUUAUAAUGGUUUACCUUGUGUGCCAA
rnacentral:lncRNA from 1 species